AAGUCGUAACAAGGUUUCCGUAGGUGAACCUGCGGAAGGAUCAUUAUCGAUUCUAUCACACCUUUCAAACAACUGUGAACUGUUUUCUCUGCCUCUUCGUAUUUUGGACCUUUUGUUUCUCUUUUGGGGAAAGAGAGGGACCGGAAUACGAAGUUGUACGACGACUUCCCCUUCGUUUCUCUUCGGAGAUUCGAACGGGAGGUUUCCACAUUCAUUCAUUUAAAACCCCUUUCUUUAAACGUUUGAUUUUGUUUUUAUUUUGAAAAUGCUUUUUGGGCGAAAGUCCAAAACGUUUUCAAUAAAAAAAAUAAAAAACACAAUACAACUCUUAGCAACGGAUCUCUCGGCUCUC
rnacentral:misc_RNA from 1 species